rnacentral:tRNA from 1 species
CCAUCCAUGGUGCAGUGGUCAGCACUUAAGACUUUGAAUCUUGCAACCUGAGUUCGAAUCUCAGUGGAUCCU